rnacentral:rRNA from 1 species
GACGAACGCUGGCGGCGUGCCUAACACAUGCAAGUCGAACGGGGGUAGCAAUACCCCAGUGGCGAACGGGUGCGUAACACGUGAAGAACUUGUCCAUCGGCGGGGGAUAGCCGGCCCAACGGCCGGGUAAUACCGCGUACGCUUGUCGGAUGGCAUCAUCUGACAAGGAAAGCAGCAAUGCACCGAUGGAGAGCUUCGCGGCCUAUCAGCUAGUUGGCGGGGUAAUGGCCCACCAAGGCAACGACGGGUAGCUGGUCUGGGAGGAUGACCAGCCACAUUGGGACUGAGACACGGCCCAGACUCCUACGGGAGGCAGCAGUGGGGAAUAUUGCGCAAUGGGCGAAAGCCUGACGCAGCGACGCCGCGUGU